GAAGCAACAAAUGCCCUGCUUCCAGGAAAAGCCUCUAAGCAUCAGGUAACAUCAAAUCGUACCCCAAACCGACACAGGUGGUCAGGUAGAGAAUACCAAGGCGCUUGAGAGAACUCGGGUGAAGGAACUAGGCAAAAUGGUGCCGUAACUUCGGGAGAAGGCACGCUGAUAUGUAGGUGAAGUCCCUCGCGGAUGGAGCUGAAAUCAGUCGAAGAUACCAGCUGGCUGCAACUGUUUAUUAAAAACACAGCACUGUGCAAACACGAAAGUGGACGUAUACGGUGUGACGCCUGCCCGGUGCCGGAAGGUUAAUUGAUGGGGUCAGCGCAAGCGAAGCUCUUGAUCGAAGCCCCGGUAAACGGCGGCCGUAACUAUAACGGUCCUAAGGUAGCGAAAUUCCUUGUCGGGUAAGUUCCGACCUGCACGAAUGGCGUAAUGAUGGCCAGGCUGUCUCCACCCGAGACUCAGUGAAAUUGAACUCGCUGUGAAGAUGCAGUGUACCCGCGGCAAGACGGAAAGACCCCGUGAACCUUUACUAUAGCUUGACACUGAACAUUGAGCCUUGAUGUGUAGGAUAGGUGGGAGGCUUAGAAGUGUGGACGCCAGUCUGCAUGGAGCCGACCUUGAAAUACCACCCUUUAAUGUUUGAUGUUCUAACGUUGACCCGUAAUCCGGGUUGCGGACAGUGUCUGGUGGGUAGUUUGACUGGGGCGGUCUCCUCCUAAAGAGUAACGGAGGAGCACGAAGGUUGGCUAAUCCUGGUCGGACAUCAGGAGGUUAGUGCAAUGGCAUAAGCCAGCUUGACUGCGAGCGUGACGGCGCGAGCAGGUGCGAAAGCAGGUCAUAGUGAUCCGGUGGUUCUGAAUGGAAGGGCCAUCGCUCAACGGAUAAAAGGUACUCCGGGGAUAACAGGCUGAUACCGCCCAAGAGUUCAUAUCGACGGCGGUGUUUGGCACCUCGAUGUCGGCUCAUCACAUCCUGGGGCUGAAGUAGGUCCCAAGGGUAUGGCUGUUCGCCAUUUAAAGUGGUACGCGAGCUGGGUUUAGAACGUCGUGAGACAGUUCGGUCCCUAUCUGCCGUGGGCGCUGGAGAACUGAGGGGGGCUGCUCCUAGUACGAGAGGACCGGAGUGGACGCAUCACUGGUGUUCGGGUUGUCAUGCCAAUGGCACUGCCCGGUAGCUAAAUGCGGAAGAGAUAAGUGCUGAAAGCAUCUAAGCACGAAACUUGCCCCGAGAUGAGUUCUCCCUGACCCUUUAAGGGUCCUGAAGGAACGUUGAAGACGACGACGUUGAUAGGCCGGGUGUGUAAGCGCAGCGAUGCGUUGAGCUAACCGGUACUAAUGAACCGUGAGGCUUAACCUUACAACGCCGAAGGUGUUU
rnacentral:rRNA from 1 species